rnacentral:rRNA from 1 species
CCUACGGGUGGCAGCAGUGGGGAAGAUUGCACAAUGGGGGAAACCCUGAUGCAGCGACGCCGCGUGAGUGAAGAAGUAUUUCGGUACGUAAAGCUCUAUCAGCAGGGAAGAAAAUGAUGGUACCUGACUAAGAAGCCCCGGCUAACUACGUGUCAGCAGCAGCGGUAAUACGUAGGGGGCAAGCGUGAUCCGGAUUUAGUGGGUGGAAAGGGAGCGUAGACGGCAGCGCAAGUCUGAAGUGAAAUCCCAGGGCUUAACCAUGGAACUGCCUUGGAAACUGUGCAGCUGGAGUGCAGGAGAGGUAAGCGGAAUUCCUAGUGUAGCGGUGAAAUGCGUAGAUAUUAGGAGGAACACCAGUGGCGAAGGCGGCUUACUGGACUGUAACUGACGUUGAGGCUCUAAAGCGUGGAGAGCAAACAGGAUUAGAUACCCGUGUAGUC